ensembl:lncRNA
UUUCAGUAACAGUGGGAUUCCCAGGCACAGUUUCAAGGAUUUCAGUCUACUUUUGACCCAAAGGAAGAAUUAAUAUGAAGCACAAGGUAUGCAUAUGUCAUCAUGUGGCAUGCUUCUCAGCAUCACCUCUGGGAAACAGAUAAUGGAUUUGUAAUAAUAAUCUCAGUACAGCAGUAACAUAUGUUAUAUAAGAAUAUACAGGAACAUUUGCAAGGAGGCAAGGAACUUUAUGACCUGUGUCUGGGAAGUUCAGCACCAUCUGCCCACAGACACCUAUUUGGCAACUGUUCUAGAUCAAGCUGUACAUUCUGUUCCAGAGCGCAGCUCAAAACUACAAAGGAAACAAAGGGAGUUCUACGUAGGCAGAAGAAAAAGAAUGGUAGCUUUCUUUCAGUACUGAAAAUAAGCAAGUAAGCAAUCAGUGACAGAAGCCAUUCCUAGAAUACCACUACAGGAAACAUAGCAGCAGAGAAGAAAGAAUCCACAUUUCCCUGAACGACUGCUCCAAGAAAAUAAAUAAAUAAAUUUCUUUUAGACAUUCCCUGUUUGAAGGCAGAUAUCACAUUCACACUUCCAAAACAUUAAAAAAAAAAAAAAAAACCACAACAGUGCAUAGAGUGAUCUCUGCCAAAGUAUGUAUUUGGUCUAGGCAGCAAGUGUCCAAAGCAGCUCUGUGUCAGAAAGAACUGAAGUCAUAAGCACCAAGCUCCAAAGCUCCAGCCAAACCAAGCAAACAUGCCUACGGACUGACAGAAUCCUUAAGUGAGACAGUCAGUAAAAAGUCAAACAAAGCACCUCAUUCUCAGCCUUCUCAGUCCUUUUUGAAAAUCCAGAAGCCUCCUGGUUGGCUCCACUGCUGGCCUGUAAAGCCUGAGCUCGCAGUCUCAUAGAAGUCCAUGUUACUAGACAGCAGAGAAUUUCAAUUGGAUUGAGUUUUAGGAAGCUGCUUUAGGAAGCUGGAAAAAUACGGUUUUGAUGGGUGGACUGUUGAAUGGACAAAGAACUGGCUGCAGGACUGAGUCCAGAGAGCAGCGGUCAAUGGCUCCACACCUGGAUGGCAAUUGAUGAUGAGUGUUGUCCCACAGGGGUCCAUGCUGAGGCUGAUACUCUUCAAUAUCUUCAUCAGUGACAUCAUCAGUGGGGUCGAGUGCACCCUCAGAAAAUUUGCUGACAACACCAAGCUGUGGGGUGACACACCAGAGGGACAGGACGCCAAACAGAGGGACCUAGACAGGCUCAAGCAGCAGGCACAGGUGAACCUCAUCAGGUUCAAAAAAUCCAGGUGCAGUGUCCUGCACGUGGGACAAGAGAACCCCCCACUACCAAUACAUGCUGGGGGAUGAAAAGACUGAGCAUAGGCCUCUCCCAAAAGACCUGGAGGUACUGGUGAAUGGCAAGCUGGACGUGAGCCAGCAAUGUGCCCUCCCAGCCCAGAAAACCAACCAUAUCCUGGUCAGCAUCAAAAGAAGCGUGGUCAGCAGGUGCAGGGAGGUGAUCCUGCCCCUCUGCUCUGUACUGAAGAGGCCUCACCUGGAGUACUCCAUCCAGAUGUAGAGUCCUCAGUGCAGAAGAGACAUGGACCUGUUGGAGCACAGCCAGAGGAUGGCCACAAAAAAAGUGAACUAAGGGAUCGAACACCUCUCCUACAAGGUCAGGCUGAGGGAGCUGGGGCUGUUCAGCCUGCAGAAGUGAAGGCUCUGAGGUGACCUGGUAACAGCCUUUCAAUACCUAAAGAGGAGCUAAAGGAAAGAACAAGGGAACAUUUAGGUUAGACAUAAGGAAAAUAUCUUUUACAGCGAGGGUGGUGAGGCAGUGGAACAGGUUGCCCAGAGUUGUGGUGGAUGCCUUGUCCCCUUCAAGGUGAGGCUGGAUCAGGCCCUGGGCAACCUGAUCUAGCCGUGGAUGUCCUUGUUUGCUGUAGGGAAAUUGGACUAGAUCAUCAUAAAUGGUCCUUUCCAACUCUAAGGAGUUUAUGGUAUGAUACCUGAAGCCAUGAGACAUGAUGACACAAAGGACAUCAAUGGCCUGGUGUGCAACAAGGGCAGGCAGGGAAGCCUGCGUGCUCAGCAGCUCUGGAGAAAAUCACAAAGUACUCCAAACAGGAAGAUCCAGAUCAGCCGUGGAGCCUCUCUGUGUCAGUCUCAGUAUUCAGCAGAUCAGAGGCCCCACUUCAUCACGCUGUUCAGUCCCAUAGCUGCAGAUUUAGUGGGGACGGGGGAUGGAAGGAAAAGGGGCGGGGGGUUGGGGAAUCAUACAGAUUAGGAAGCUAAUAGCAUCCCCAGACAACUGGAAUAGAGAUAUCUGGGGUCAUCCUGACAAAGCAGUCCAGUGGAGGACAAUCCCUUGUCUCCUAUAAAUACAAAGCCAGAUCUGCCAUAAAAACAGGAAGUACCACAGGACCCCAGGGUGGUCGGCCACAGCGUGCUCUGAGAAUUAUGCCCUGGCAUCUGUUACCACUGGCAAAUUUGUAAGGGCGAUAUAGGAGAGAACCAGACAAAACAGGAACAGAAUAUUUGUGUUUAGUAUGGUCGAGCAGUGGAGACUGUAUUGCACCAAGUGAGGAUGAAGAAAAUGGCUACUGGGGCCUGGGGGUUUUCUUAAGCUCAGGUCCCAGCCUGGUAGAUGCACCUCACUCUAUCACUAGCCAUGUAGCUUAUUGGGCUGGAAAAAUAGACCCCACGGAGCAAGGUGAGCCCCUUGUGACCCACAUUUCAUCUUUAAGUGAGCUUCCCACAGCUACCACAAAACCUGCCUGCAUACAAGCCAUGCAAGAACAAGGGGCUCGUGGUGUUCCAUUAUCUGCUCCAAAGAUUUCACAGUGCUUAAACCACUAGCUAGAGGAGCCCCAGAAAUCCUUAAACCCCAUUGAGCUGCAAAAUAGAAUGAGAUCAAAAGGGACGCAUGUAAUUUAAAUACAUGACCUUAAACAAUACUCUGCAUGGGUGGAAUUAAUACACGGCACAGGAGACUCAGAGCAGACAUGGGGAGAGGACACAAAGACAUGAGUGGGGCAUGAGGACACAGAGAGAACACGGAGGGGGACACAGAGAGUACACAUCACAAAAUGGGCUAGGACAACAUGGUGGCAGACAAACCAAGUUUAGAGCCCCAGGUUGGAGAUUGUGAGACGAGAAUCAUGAAAGGGAACAGAGACUUAACAAGAAGGUAUUGAGCUUAAAAAGAAUUGCAAAGAAGAUCCAGAAAACACAGAAUCCCUUUAUGGAAAAGAGCACCAGCUCCAGGCAUUUCUGGAGUUGCAGUGCUCAGUAAGCCAGCCAGCAUUACCUUGGGGCUGAUUGAAGCACUCCAGAAAUGAGAUAAUAACAAAAGAAAGGAAUGUACGUCAGUCUCUCUAUUACCAGGUCAGAGAAAGGGAGAUAACCUCUUCACUUUUCUCAGAGAACAAUUGAAGGGCAUCACAAGGACAGGCAUAGCAGAUAUAGCUGCCCUAAACCAGCUUAGGAUCCCCUCAGAAAGGCAGAGAUCAAAACCCCUGCAAUAAAGAAAGAAUCACUUACUUCUUUCCCAGGACCAGGGCUCACCCAGCAACCUACAGGAAGCAGGCUCCAGAUAGAGACAAUGCCUCUGGGGCUGCCAGCCCUUACAUGAGGUUAGGGAGGGGUGGAGACAGGCUCAGCCCCAUCUGGAAUUCCUUCCACCUGUGCUUGCAGGGCUGGCUACACCCCUCACCAGGUGUUCCAUCACUGCUUCAGGCUGUGAUCUCAAAGUUCCCAUAAAGGCAAAAAAAAAAAAAAAAAAAAGCAAAAAAUUGGCCAGCUGGGUCUGCUUGUCCAAGGCAAGGAGGUUUAUCAAUGGACAAGUUAUGAUGGCCCACAUAUUUUGAUUCCAGUCUGUCCUCAAAGGCAAUUGGUGAAAUUUCUAAUAGACAGGGUAGCACAGAUUUCAAUACUGAUACAUCAAGAUGCUGAGAAGCUGCACGUGCAACAAAAGGGCUGAGAUUCCAGGUGUGAACAGAGUGAGUGCUGUCUGCCAAACUGCCUGGAUCAGCUUAUGGCUCUCCAGUGAGAAACGUGUCAUCUACUCACUUUGCAAUUGAAGACCACUGUGAAAAUAGUGUAGGAUUUAGUGUCCUCAGUGGGUGAACCUGGCACCUGCCUGUAUGGCAGCAUGUAGCCUUUUGACUCAAACAUCGAUCCCAAACCCCAAAGAAAUAGGGAGGCUGCAGAGUGUUUACUUUGUGCAGCCCCUGAGCUCCUCAAAUCAGAGAUCACUGACAUACUGCAGUACCCCAUUUCUGCUGUGGCACGACGUGGGAUUUCUGAAGUCACAACAGAUUUGCAGAAAAUCAUCUCCAGAAUGCACUCCCUGUACAACUUGCCCACAUGCAUGGGGGACAAGCCCCACUGUGGGGACAAUGACCCCCACUUGUUGGGUACUACUCCCACCCCACUGUCACAGCUGCACCCCGAGGACACCAUCACCCCACUGCACAUGGCCAUCAACUUCUCCCUGGACUCCACGCACCCCACAGGCAUCCCUGUCCCCAUUCUCUAGCCCACGGUGACAUCGGCAUGGAGCGAAGUGGGGCGGGGGACAUGGGGGGACUUGAGGGGACAUGUGGACAUCAGGGGAUGUGUGGGGACACAGGGACAUGUGGGGUCAGAACUACAGAGGUGAGAAGAGGUGACACAUGGAGGUGACACAGGGAGGCAGCAGGCCGCAUCAGGAGGUGCUGGUGCCAUUCAAGCAGCACUACGUGACAGAUGAGCACUGCCAGCCCAACCUGGAGGUCAUGGUGACACCCAGUGCCAUGCUGCUGCUGGGCGGCCACAUGGCCAACAUGACCACAGUGCUGACACUGUGCAACCGCGGUGAGGACACACACGGGACCACGGGUACCAUCUGGCACCCCUUGGGGAUGGUAUUCCACAGAGCCAGGGCCACCUCAGUGAGGGCACCUGUCCCUGGGUCCCUACAGUGUCCCCUGUGUUUGUACCCAUGUCCCAGUGUUUCCACAUUGCCCAGUGUUCCCCUAUUGUCCUCAAAGUCCCCCUCCAAAGUCCCCCCCAACAUCCCCAUGAUGUCCCUCUCCAUAUCCCCAUGUCCCGGUGUCCCCCACUCCUCACUUCCCCUAAUGUCCCCACAAGGUCCCCACUGUUCCCCGAUUAGUCCUGCCCCCACAUCCCCACACAGUGCUGGGCUGUCCCUGCAGGUGCCACUGGAGGUGACACACAGCCACUCAUGGGGUGCCAUGCUGCAGCACCCUUCUGCGAUUCUAUGAAUACUGAAUCCUAAACAUCGCUUUCCCAGCUCUUGGGCACCAUUUAAAAGCCAGUUCUGCAGGUGAGGGAGCUGAUGGCACAAAGAAGGUGGGCUCUCUGACCGUUGCAUGCUGGGACCAGCAAAGAUGAAUUCUGGAAGAGGUGCAGGGCAGCCCAGGGAUCCUCCUGACCAGAGCACUUGGUGAGUUUCCCCAGAGCUGCUGAGGGAAAAAAAAAAAAAAACACAGAAGGAGGAGAGGAGGGAGAAGGAGAGACGACGAGGAAAACCAAAGAAAACUGCUUAUGUAUACGUGCUUAUGAAUAUGUGUAAAUAAAUAAAUAAAUAACCAGCAACUUGAUGUUGUCAUGCUUUUUUAAAAAUAUAUAUUUUUUUUCAGCCUGCAUCUGAGGUGAUGAAAAAACAUGGUAUCAAUCGGACAGAUGUGUGCAGUGCAAGGAAGUAGAACAGAUGCCAACAUGCUUCCAGCUUUUUUCCCCUCUUUUUGCUCAAAGAUUUCAAACCACCCUUUUGCUUGCUCAGCCUCGUGGUGUCAAAGAGCUGCUUCUCAUGCUCCUUAGAAAGCCUUUCACAGUGAGAAAUGACCUCCUGCAAAGAACAGAGAGGGACAGAUCCCACGCUUAAAUAUUUCAGAACAAGCAAUACUGAAAAAAGUUGCACCUGAGAGGCCGCUUUUUUGCAUGUGGAGAAGUCAGAAGCCAGGCAUAUCUGGGGCUGACGAAGGGGAAUGUCAUUUGUUAGAGCAGUGAGUUCUCCAUUUUGUCCCCAAAUUCCUGAGUUUCCUGAGAAGCCCAGAAGGACUAAUUGCUUUUAGCAGUGAUUACUAUCAGAGCCGGAAGCACCCUGAAGAUGUUUGAAAAUGCCUUUCUUUCUAAACUGGGCUGUUUUCUAUUUUGCUGCCUCACUGUCUCCACAUCCUCUGUGAAUGAUGGAACUUUUUGCUGCCCGCAUCAGCCCAAGAGUUGGAGCCUCCUUCAGAACUGAACUUUACUGCCACAGUUCAGAUUUCACACUGGGUCAAGCCUAGUGCCACACUGUUCAAGACCAAAGGAAACGGUGACCACAACUUCAGCUUGAACGAAAAAAGGCACCACCGCAUCAGUGAUGCUGUUGUUCUUUUGUGAAAUUAAUCAUCAGCCAAGUGACAGAGGGGGCUUCCAUCAGCCAACAAACACCAAGCGGCCUGAAAAAUUAAGGUGUGCAAGUUCAUGACUAAUGAAACCACAAGUGAACAACAGAACAGUUCUCAAAGCCUUCCACCAUUCAAUCUGCUGUCUUCACUGGGUCAGUGCAGUUUGGUGUGGAGUUUCUUUUCUGCUCUUUUGUUAGUUUUUAAAAUGCUUCAGAUCUUGUCUCUUCUUCUUCUAUAACCCUCCUUCUAGGGAUACAUACUAAGGAAGUGGAACAGAGUACCAGCUUACUGGGAGGAAAACCUGCAAGCUCGGGGGAAUAUUUUCCAGCGAGUCAGAGCAACUGAGACCCAAGGCCAGGAGCUCUUUGUGCUAACUGCCCCUGGCCUCAAUUCAUUCUGUUGGCCUCCCAGCAGUGCAUUUCCUAGCUGUGAACCCAGGAGGCCUUCCGCAAACCCGGGCAGCAUUCGGUUCAUUUGGGUUUGGGCUCUGGACCCACCACUUGGACCCCACCAAGGGAAUCGCCUGCCCCCCAAAUCUGACCCCCCACACACAACCUGCUUCUAUGCUCCUGUGCCCCGGAGAGAGAUCUAAGGCACAAAGAUGCCAUAAGGCACAUUAAUGAGCUCUGGGAAAAACAGAGCAUUCCACACUACUUAAUGACCAUAUACUUGAGUCUACGCAUUGCUCUGACCUAUUUGAGCAACAAGCAGUCAGGCAGCAAGUUGGGUUCCAGGACAUUCCGGAACGCUCAGCUUGCCUGCUGUUGUCACGGAGAGCCAGAAAGCUGUCCUUGCAGUCCUUGUACUGCCUGGGAGCAACACUGCACUGCCACCUGUAUUUAGCAGGCAAUGCAAUACCAAUGGGACUGCCCAACAUGUGCAGGGCAGCACUGCUGUCACACUACCAGAAUUUUAGGGCCACUACAAUGAUCCUUAGCAUUCUGUUAGCACUGAGGUUAGAGUCACCCUUAGGACUGAGAAUACCGUCAGCGUUACUUUUACAGUGACUUCUCUGGGUCAUUUUCAGGGGUUCUUCAGGGUGAUGGCUGGUACAAUUAUUUUCGGGUCAUUAGCCUAUGAUAAACGUUACUUUUAGGGUGAAGAUCGGUUACUUCAACGACUGUUCUUUGGAUUAUGAUCAGGGUUAAGGUUCCUUUUGCUACAAACUUUGAGCAUGAUUUUUAUUGUUACAUUUAGAGUCAGAGAUGAUUUUAGCGUCAGGAUAAGGGUUAGUACUAGAGUUACACUGUGUGUUAAUACAGUUAUCUUUACAGUUCCUAUGUGGCUUGGAGUCCGGGUCAAGGUUUAAUUUAAAGCUACAUCCCAGCCAAUGAGGCCCCCAGCUGAUAUUCGCUUCUAUGCUCUAGGGCCCCAGAAAAAGGCCCUGGGCACAAAGCGAACUAAUGCAAGCCGACUGGAUAACUCUCUCGUGGAGCAGCAGUGCUCAAGGAUUUGAUAUUCACAAAGGAAGCACAACACCUGAGUAACACAGAGGAAGGCAGUGGGAAUAACAGGGCAAAGCAAGGUGGAAACAUGGGGAAAGCAAGGGAAAGGCAGGAGGAAAUGAACACGCAGCCAAGAAGGUGCCCUACCACGUCGUAACGAGCUCCGGAAGCACUACAUUAUGCCACGCGGUGAAAUAGGGAAAGAUUUGCAUACAUGCAUGGUCCUUACCUGCUUGGGCAGUCACCUAAGUUGGGUUCCGGGGCAUUCCUGGAUAUGCAGCUCUCCACUGCUGAGCAGCAUCUGGUCAAGGACCGCCAGGUGAUCGGAGGGUGGUGUUUUUCCCCUAUCAGUCUGACACAGUGCGUUUCCCUGCUCGCUUCCCACUGUUACAGUAUUCCUACCGUCUCUGAACAGAGCCGUCGAGCGGUCCCACGCCUCCCUCCCCACCCCACAUCCUACAUCCCCCGCCAACCGACAGCGCCGCGGCUCUCUGCUGCUCUCCGGCGGUCGCUGUGUGGUACUGCAGGCACUGCCCGCGCGCGUGGUGUAUGGGAGCGCCUCUGACGUGGGCACGCGCCGAACAACAUGGCCGCGCCCUGCGGGAGUGGCUCCUUACCUGCAGCGCGUGGCGAGGUGGCUGGAGCCGUGAGGCACCGCCACGUGAAGGAGCUCGGUGGUCGGGGGUGGGACGGGACGGGACAGACGGAAAAGCCCAUUCAGUAGCUCCUAGGGAAGUUGGCAGGGCACCGCUUGGGGUGACCGCGGAGUCGCUCCGUGCCGGUCCCGGGAGGCUGCAGUGCCGGAGCCGCUCCGCGCCGGUUCUGCAACCGCGAAUCUCCGAGCCGCUCGCGUUCCACGGUGGUCGAGAGUGCUUGCAAACGGAUGAGGGACGUUGCAGGGCGGAGGGGUGGAAGGGGACGCCUGCUAGUCCACCGCGGCGACGAACUAAUUGGAUGCUCGUCCAAAAGCCGUGCGUUCUGUACAUCAUCGAGCGCAUGCGUGUUGCCGACUUGAGGACUUCUCACCAUAAAGAUUGGCGGAUUGGCUGCGCAGAGUGGUCAAAACUCAGAUUCGCCACUUCCGCAUCCAGGCGUCUUGCAGUCGGCGGCAGCAAACAAUAUACGCUGCCACAGUUCCACCGAUUGGCCACGCGGGGGCACCAGAGACGGCGGAAACAACUUCCCUAACCGGAUUGACCGGAUCGCCGGGGACUGCGGCGCGGAUCAGGUUCUCUUUUGAUGGCAGAAGAAAAAAAACACAACUAUGAGAGGAAGGGGGAGAGAAGAGGAGACGACGAAGAAAAACAAGGAAAACUUCGACAAACCCACCAAACCCGUGCUGAGUGCUUAUGAAUAUCUGUAAAUAAAUAAAUAAAUGUCCAGCAAACUGAUGUUGUCAUGCGUUUUUAAAUUUUUUUUUUUUUUUCAGCCAGCAUCUGAGGUGAUGAAAAAACAUGGUAUCAAUCAGACAGAUGCGUGCAGUGAAGCCAAGGAUGGCAUGGGAUGAUUAACAGAGCAACGCAAAACAGCCGUGCAACUCUUAGAAGAAACAUCAUAGUAACAGCUUCCAUACCUGGCCUCGCCACUAUGACAUUCCAUCCGGCCCACUCAAGGCUUGUAAAUAUCCACUGGAUCGGUUUGGAUAUCAAGCGAUUUGACAUAAAUUCUCUCAUUCACAACCAGUGCAGGACCUGACACUUGGCCCUAUUGAAACUCAUACAGUUUACCUUGGCCCAUCAAUCUAGUCUAUUUAGGUCCCUCUGUAUUUCCUUUCUCCCCUCUGGCAUACCAACACUCCCUCCCAGCUUGGUAUCACCUGUAAACUGCAUAUGAGGGUACACUCAAUCCCCUUAUCAAGAACGUUAAUAAAGACGUUAAAUAGAAGCAGCCAAAGGUAGGCAGAGAUCUCCAGCAAGAGAUGCCCUCACCUUCCCCUGCCAACCCUUAAAUGAGGGCUGGGAAGGGGUGGAUCCUGGCUCCACCCCUUCCAGUCACUGAGUGAUACACUGCUUGCACCUGAGCUCCCCUGGGUUGGCCCUGCCUUCUCAUCAGGUGCCCAAUCACUGUUUCAGGCUGUGUCUUAGUAUUUCCACUACACAUACUUCAUAUUGUCCUAUUUCCAAAACACCAGAUAAGAUGCUGACAUGAUAGGUGAACAUUUCUCAGAUGUGCUUUUUCUCUCUGCCGUUCUGCUUGAGUUUAUUGCUCAUAUAUCACAAAGAGAAGUAACAUAUACAAAGAUAUUCUUCAGGAGAAGGAAAUGCCUUUCAAUAAUCUGCAAAAUGAGGAGAAGAUAUCUAAUUAUGUGGCAACUCUUUAUGUUGAAGAAAACUACCCAGUAAGUGUGCACAUGGAGAGCAACUGACAAGUACAAGUUUCAAACAAAAUUAAGGGAUUUCAUGCCUGGAUGUGAGUGACCACUGGAACUUGCUUCUUCAGAAAAAAAAUCAAAUCAGGAGUCAAAUUCCUGACAAACGAGGUAGCCUCAACAGCAAGCCUGAAGCUUCACAAUCAGGUUCUUGUUGGACAGCCACAAAUGCUCUUGGUUGUAUGCCACAGUGACUCCAAACGUUGUGCUCUGGAUUAGCGUUAUGGUAUGAAAAAGAGCCAGGAAGAGAGAACAGAGAUGCUAGAAAUUGGAUGUCACACAGUGGUUUAUGUAUUGUUCUCAAGAGGAACUUAAAAGAUGCCUUUCAGUAAACAGCAACACCACAGUCCUGUACCCCUUCACCAACAGAAUAAAUUUUGUAAAAUAAGACAGAGGUUUUGACAUGCAAAGGUAGGCGUUACGCAGCAAAAUAAGUUUAAAAGCUUGUUAACAGUACUAUUGUGGUGAAACACUAUCUCUUGAAGUUGUAAUAAGGACUGAAAUGGUGGCAGCUUCAUCUUUAGAGAAAAAGAGCAUAUACUCUAUCUGUAUAUCUUGCCAUGAUGACUGUGUCAUCUUGCACAAAUUCAGCCGGUGCAUCCCAUCCUCCCUCUUUGGUCUGCUAGUUGCGAUAACAAUGACAGCCUCAUCUCACCCAGAGUUUCACCCAUUCACUGCCAUUGCCUUCCAAAAGCAGAAACUGCAGCAUGUUGAAAAAAGACAUGUGUCUUCCCAUAUACAAAUGUUACAAUAAGGAAAUACAUUCACAGAGGUGCCUUCCUCCAAGCAAAAGAAGGAAUGCCUGAGACCCCCAGGGGUUCUACAAGUGUAGAACUUUAACUGUUAACUUCUUAUUUCCCCAUUUUUUUUUUAAAGUAAAUACUUUAGUUUACAAGGCAGCCUCAAUUUCCUGUAAUGCAAGAUUCCAACAGGAAGACACCCAUAAUGCAAAAGACUUCUCCCCAGAGGCUUUUUUUUCUCCCUGGUUUCCAUUCUAUGUGCAUUAAUCUUGAAUUUAUUGCACUAAUAGUUAGUUAUUUGAGGUUCACCUGUUGCCAUCUUUCCUCUCUUUACUUCUGCCAACUCUUGCUGCUUUUUCUCCACAUUCUGGAGUGACUGGAGUGAUCAGAUCACUGCUCAAAAACCAGACAGAAUGUUUGGAAAUAUCUGGCAAGUAAUACAGAACAUAGGAGACAAAACUAUAUACUUCAAUUACUCUACAUUCAUCCUGCAUCAGAGAAUGGCAGAGUCGUUUAGGUUAGAAGGGAUCUCUGGAAGUCAUCUGGCCAAACCCCUGCUCAAGCAGGGACACACUGAAUCCUGUGGAUAGUGCAGGCCUCUACUUAUCAGAAACAACAAAGGAGUAUGACACAAGGUAUGGGAAAGGAUGACAGGAGGUACAAACCACUCACUGUACAAAACGGACUCUGCUUUUUCAACCACAAAGAGCACAGAGAAGGGGAAGCCAAGUUCUGCAGCUAUCACAGAACCUUUAUUAUUCUUCACCUUAUGCAACAAGUCUUAAUAGCCAUCAAAUUAAAUUAUGAAGCAGCGAGUUUAAGCACACAGAAGUCUCUACUUCCUGCAGCACCUGGAUAUGCUAAUACUCACUUUUCAGCCAAAUACCAUGAAUGCUGUAACCUUGCCCAACUCCGUAAGUCAUUUGGAUAGAGUUACACAGAGUGCACAAAGACAGGCUCCAGCUCAUGAAAUUUAUUAGCCACAGGUCACAACUGCUGGAAGAAUAUUCCAGGACUACCUCUGACAACAGACCAGAGACUGGAUUUCUUUUGAUCAAUUACUACAGUUUUCUUAGCAAAUUUUGUCAACAUUUGCUCACUUAUUAGCUAUUCCAUUUUAACGCUGACACAUUAAAAAAAAAAAAAAAAAAAAAAGAUCUCUGUAUGUUCAUUUUACGGCACUACAGAUCUCUGGCAUGUUACAGCCACAGCUGCAACUCCUCAGGUGGCCUGGUUUUGUUCACAAAAUGCCCUCAUCCUUGAGAAGAACGUCAGAAUUACAGAAAGCUUCUGCCAUUAAAUUCAAUGACUCAUAGCCGCUUUCCAGUUCACUUGAGUACAUCUGGAGUUUCUUACCUUCUCAAGUUUACACAAUAAUAAGAAUCACAGCCAAGACCUUCAAUCAAUAGAAUCAACCAAAAUGCUACUGUGCUGUAGUUUUUCUUGAACUUUAUGUCAGAAUUCUGACAGUGUAUGAACUGCCAUCAGAAGUGCUAGAACUAAACUCAGUCAUUACAGAGUGUUUGUCUUCCAAUUCACAGCUGCAACCAAAAUUGCUUUAACAGUUGCAUUUCACAACUUUUAUCUCUAGUAGCAUUUCCAGAACACAACAAGGCACAAAGCAACAGGCCACAUAGCGCACGAGGGGAAGGUGGGUUCUUUAGAAUCACCAGAGCUGACUUACAGUCCUUUAUUUCCAAAGGAAAAGUGACUGAAAAAUCUAUUCGUCUAGAAAGAUCCUGAGGCCGAGCAGUGCCAUUAAAGAGCAAAGCAACCACCUAGACAAGGACUGUCCACGUUUCCCCACGUUUCACAGCAGCUUAUGGAAAGGCUCUACAGAAGAAAAACCUGGCUGAACGUGGGCAAUGGCCUCUUCAGCACUCCUCGGGUUAAACUGUACCGUACCUAUUUCUGACGGACGUAUACAAAGCGACACAGCCCCUAUGAAAGAAACUGCAGCGGAACACGGAGCGAGAGAAGGUCAGAGGCCCGCCCUCAGCCGCAGCUCCCCCGGGCUGGGCCGCUCUGUGCGGGCGUCCGAACGGCUCCGGGCCUACCGCUGGGCCCUGGGCGAAGCAGAUGCUGCCCAAACCGAGAGCCGCCCAUGGCCCGUUCAGGGUCCGCUGCACGUGAGGAACCAGCCGAGUCACCCCUGAGGUGAGGGCGGAACCGUGCCGAGGCGGCUGCAGCUCUCAAGCCGGCGGACUCCCGGAAGAUCCGUCGCGUAGUCCCGGGAGGGUGGAAGCAGGAAGUACCAUUUUUGGGCCUCGGAAGUACCAUAAAAGGUGAGGAGGAAAUGCCAAAUAUGGUGGUCCUGGUUCCGGCCGCCGCUGGAGGAGCGUUUCCGUUCGGCCUUGGCGGCCCCGUGCCUGCGUGACGCGGCUCAGCCCGCCGCUGCCGGCGCGCUCCCGACGGUGGCGUGGUGUACCUCUGCUCGGCUCGGCCA